GACAGCCUGUCAGCGGCUGCUCUGGAGCCUGGGGCCUGCUCCGUGCGCCCUGUCUGCCCUCCGCGGGCCGUGCUGUCCAGGCUGGCCCGACAGCCUGACUCGAGACACCGGGAUGCCUGUCCACGCCUCCACUCCCGGGCCACUUCCCCGUGGGGCGGGCAGUGGGGCAGGGCGGGGUGGGAAUCUGCUGCAACCAGGGAAGGGAAUUGCCCCCAGGCACAGAGAGUUUGGAGCCUGGGGUACUGUCACCAACAGCCCAGGACCCCGCAGCUGGGCCCUCCCCUAGAGUCUUCCUGCAGCAGGGCUCUCCUCCCAAAGGGCUGUGAAUGUUUCUCCGAGGUGGGGCUAAGCUAGAGCCCAGAGGUUUGCCCUGGGCACGGAUCCCCCAGGUCACUCGCCUCCCACGGGCUGCAGUGAAGGAGGCUUUGAAGGGAGGAUGGCCGCCCCCUCCCCUGCAAGGAUAUGAGCCCCAGGGAAGGCAUUCCUGCUCUGGGGAUUGCCUCCCUCCCAGACAUCACAGCCAGCCCUUGCAGAAGCUUGGCCAAGCUGACCACUCUGUCAGUGAUCUCUGCAAGGGAGGCUGAAAGAACAUCCAGCCCCAAUUGUGUUCCCUUUCUGCCUCAGGCUAGGCCAUAUCUAGGCCUAUCAGGGAAGUUGGUCUCUUCAUGAGCCCCCCUGCACAGACGUCUAAAUGUCCAGAGUCCCAACAGAAUAACAAAGGGUUAAAAACCAUCUCUAUACUGAAGCAGGCCGAGCUGAAGGCUGACUUCUAGGGUGCCCUAGAAUGGUGGAAGCUGCACACACCUGACACCACCUAGCAGAGUUGGCUUCCAGAGGAACCUUUCGGGGCCAUAGGCUUGCAGGCCUACCUGGCCAGGCAGAUGAUCCAAAUCUGCCUGAGAGGCAUGAGGUGAGGAGCUGGUGCUGGAGGGUAUGGUGGCCCUGCCAGGGAGCAUCUGUGGUUCCAGCGGCUGCAGCAAGCAGAAUGGAGGCCUGGGGCUGCAAGACAUUUUGAAGAGACACAGGAAUCAGCAUUUUUGUACAUGAUCUUGGGUGUGUGUGUGUGUGUGUGUGUGUUAAACACUGGAGUCAUAAAACUUCAGAUUAAAAGAAAAACUGCAGAACAUAAAACAAAACCCACCUGCAGCUCAGGGCUGGCCUGCAGGCCGCCUGUGACCGGUGCAAUUUCCCACCUGUGCUGCCCGUGACCAUGAUGAAGAAAGAAGGGAUUUCUUUUCCCACACAGAAACACCCCAAGCAGGAACAGAAACAGAUCUUUUGUGCCCACCAAUAUGUGUCUGUCUUGCCCAGCCUGUCAUUGUCCAGGGCUGUGGGUAGUGGAGGAGCCACUGGUUCUUGACUAGUUCUGCAGAAGCCCUGGGUCAAAGGCCUCCGCUGACAGCAUCCAGAAGUGUGUGCUUCUCCAUCCUGGCCACACACUCAAAUCACUGGCGGAAAGGGCAUGGGAGAACACAGUGAGAAGACAGCAGUCUGAGAGCCCGGAAGAGCGCCCUCACCAGAAACCAAAUGUGUCAGCACCUUGCUCAGGGACUUCCAGCCUCCGGAACUGUGAGGAAACAAAAUGUCUGUUUUGGAGCCGCCCAGGCUGUGGGGUUUUGGUAAGGCAGCCUGAGCAGACUAAUGCAACAGCCUCAACAAAACUGCAAUCAAUGAGAAAAUAACAGUGGGCUUGAAGAAAAAAAUGAAUUCCAGUCAAAAUCUCAACAGUUUUAUUUGGGAGGUGAGAUGAGAGAGGAAACAGGUGGGAAAAGAGAGGUAAAAGGCUCGGUUAGUCUUGGGGCUGGAGAAGGUCAAGGUGGUGGACAGAGGCCCCCAGCUGCCGCCGCGGGUUCCGCGACGCUGACCGUGUAUGUGACCCAAGAGACUUCUUCACCAAGGCCAGCACGGCCGGGGACCCGGAUUUCACCUGGGAGAGACAUUAGAGCUGGGGGUGCACAUUCUGCAGAGUAGAGGGACCACUGAGUGGCCCAUCUCUGGAAGCACCCCCGCUUCAGCCUUACAUGCUGGGCUUUCCUCCUGGGGCCUAAGGAGUACGGGUGGGGACCCCUGCCCAGGUCACACUGAGAGGGUGACAGCAUACUGGCAGCCCUUGCAGCCCUCGCUCACUCUCGGCGCCUCCUCGGCCUUGGCGCCCACUCUGGCCGCGCUUGAGGAGCCCUUCAGCCCACCGCUGCACUGUGGGAGCGCCUUUCUGGGCUGGCCAAGGCCGGAGCCGGCUCCUUCGGCUUGCGGGGAGGUGUGGAGGGAGAGGCACGGGGCGGGAACCCGGGCUGCCCGUGCGCUUGGGGGCCAGCUAGAGUUCCGGGUGGGCGUGGGCUUGGCGGGCCCCGCACUCGGAGCUGCUGGCCGGCCCGCAAGCCCCGGACAGUGAGGGGCUUAGCACCUGGGCCAGCAGGUGCUGUGCUCGAUUUCUCGCGGAGCCUUAGCUGCCUCCCAGCGGGGCAGGGCUUGGGACCUGCAGCCCUCCAUGCCUGAGCCUCCCCGCCCCCCGCUGUGGGCUGCUGCGCGGCCCGAGCCUCCCGGACGAGCGCCGCUCCCUGCUCCACCGCGCCCAGUCCCAUCGACCACCCAAGGGCUGAGAAGUGCGGGCGCACAGGCGCCGGACUGGCAGGCAGCUCCACCUGUGGCCCCGGUGUGGGAUCCACUGGGUGAAGCCAGCUGGGCUCCUGAGUCUGGUGGGGACUUGGAGAAUCUUUAUGUCUAGCUAAGGGAUUGUAAAUACCCCAAUCCGCACUCUGUAUCUAGCUCAAGGUUUGUAAACACACCAAUCAGCACCCUGUGUCUAGCUCAGGGUUUGUGAAUGCGCCAAUAGGCACUCUGUAGCUAGUUAAUCUGGUGGGGACUUGGAGAAUCUUUAUGUCCAGCUAAGGGAUUGUGAAUGCACCAAUCGGCACUCUGUAUCUAGCUCAAGGUUUGUAAAUGCACCAAUCAGCACCCUAUCAAAAUGGACCAAUGAGCUCUCUGUAAAACAGACCAAUCGGCUCUCUGUAAAAUGGACCAAUCAGCAGGAUGUGGGUGGGGCCAGAUAAGAGAAUAAAAGCAGGCUUCCCGAGCCAGCAGCGGUAACUCGCUUAAGGUUUCUCUACUGGGUUGUGUAAUGUUUGUUCUUUCACUUUUUGCACUUAAAUCAUGCUACUGCUUGAUGUUGGGGUCCGCACUGCCUUUGCUGAGCUGUAAGACUCACCACGAAGGUCUGCAGCUUCGCUCCUCAGCCUGUGAGACCAGGAACCUACCAGAAUAAAGAAACUCCAAACGCAUCUGAAGGUCAGAAGGAGCAAACUCUGGACACGCUGCUUUUAAGAACUGUAACACCAUGAGGGUCUGCGGCUUCAUUCUUGAAACCAGUGAGAUCAAGAACCCACCAAUUACAAACACAACACCUCGUGAGCAGGCUCUAAAAGGUCCAGCAGAAAGAAACGCAUUGAAUUGCGUGCAAUGCAUCGUUCCCUAGAGGUGUGUGACUGAUGACACUUUCCACGUGGGGCACCAAGCAACACUGACAGUACCGUUUGGGAAGCACUGCAGAGAUGUAAACUAGGUGACUGAGAAAUAUGUAUGGAGGGACGGUGGAAGAACAGUUGGCCACAUACUCAAUUAUACGUGAUUUGAGGUAGGGAGCUUAUGGGGACUUUUUUUUCCUGUUUUUCAUCAAUCUGUUCUCACUAGAUUUACUACAUGUUAAAAGACACUUGACAUAAGUUAAAACACAAUGUCUAAAAGCCUCUGACCACUGCCCCAAUUUUUACUUAGCAAGGCAUGCCAGCGGGGCCCAGGGCCUUGCCAGCACGGUCCCCACCUCAUGUUCUGGGCCCUGAUCUCAUGUUGCCGCCACAUGGUGUCAUGCGUUGUAGCACAUUUCCUGCUGUGCUCCCAAAGCAUUCACUUAGGAAAUCCACUUUGUGCUCCAUGUUGAGAUUACAGUAUGUACAAAGACAGACACUGUCUUGACUUUUUGACCUUUACUGUCAAAGGACAUGCAUGAACAGUAACAAAACAAUCAAGGCUGGUAUGGCUGGAAUGUGAGGGGAAUGUGACUGUUGAGGGGCAGGCAGGGGCCAUGUGAAGGAUGGGAUUUCUUUCCUCCUAAGGGCAACAGGAAAUCACCGACAGGGCUUUAAGCAGGAGCACCGUAAAAAAAUGACUCCAUGUCUAGGCAGCUGGGUGUAGUGGCUCACGGCUGUAAAGUCAGCACUCUGGGAGGCCAAGGUGGGAGGAUCGCUUGAGCCCAGGAGUUCGAGAUCAGCCUGGGCAACAUAGACCCCGUCUCUACAACAAAAAACACUAUAGUCAGGUAUGGUGGUACGCCCCUGUAGUCACAGCUACUCAGGAGGCUGAGGUGGGAGGAUCACAGGUGGUCAGGGCUGCAGUGAGCCGUGAUUGCACCACCACACUCCAGCUUUGCCAACAGAGCAAGACCCGUGUGGGGAAUAGACAGGGGUUCCCCCAGGAAGGCCAGUGCCAAGGCAGGGAGCUCUAGUCCAGGAGACAGACAUGAGGGCCUGCAGUGGGGUGAGACGUGAAGAGACGCAGAUGGAUUCCAGAAGCAGCAGGAGGCACAAAUCAAGAGAGUUCGGGGAAAGAUGGACAGGACACCAGGGAGAAAGUCACGAGCAACCCCAGGUCCUGGUUUAAAUAGGUCAAUGGUGAUGUCAUUCACCAGGACAGGGAACAGAGGAGAGGACCAGGUUUCUGCUGCAUGGGGCUAUACGGUGAAGAACAUGGUCAUGGAGGGCCUGCAGGGCUGGGCUGUCAGAAACACCAAGGGGACAUGGGUGCCCAGAGUAGAGGUCUGGGCUGGAGAUGACAUGUGGAAGCCAGGGGCAUGGAGAAGGUGGACUGAAACCGUGGGCUUGUGUGAGGGUGCCUCAGGAGAGGGGAAAGGGAGGAAGAGGGCUUGGACUUGACCUAAGCCACACACGAGCUCCGUGGAGGAGGACUGGCCUGCACAGGAGACUGUGAAGGAGUCUCCAGAGAGCAGAAAGGGCACAUGGCCCAGAGGUGCCCGGGAACCAGCAUUUCAAGGAGGUAGGCACGAACAGAGUCACAGCUGCCGAGGGGUCAGGGAAGCUAAACAUGUUCCUGGGAUUCGGUGGCACAGAAGUCACGUGCAGCCAGGGAGGAGGAAGAACCAUGAUCUCAAGGUCUGAGUCAGGUGUCUCCCAGCCAGACUUCAGUGUUAAGGGAAGUGGGGGUGGGGGGAUGAGCAAACCGGUUUCCAUACCUUUAAUUAUGUCAGUGAUCGGUAUUCUCAAAGACCAGCUGCUGCUGGUGGUGUGACCUGAACCCCUGCCUCUUCCAGCCAUCCAUUCAUUUUCAGAUAGAUGCAUGCCGACAAGCCCAGUCCCAGGGCUGUCACUGGACACACACAGGCGGAUCAUGCAGCUCACAAUCUCAGGGCGGGGGGAGACAAACACAAUCCCCAGAAGAUCAGCACCUCGGAGCCCUGGCCUAGCUCACCUACCUCCACAGCAGCUCCUGGGCUGUAGAUCUGCGUAGUAAAAAUCAAACCCUGAGGCAGAACCGGUUAGAUAUGCCAGUUCAUUUUAUCCCAUGCACUGAAAGUUUAAAGUGGUGUUCUCAGGAAGUAUGUUUGGCCAGGAAAGGAGAAAUCGUAGAAGCCAAUUACAUCCUCACAGGCCCCUUCCUUCCAGGAGAAUGACUUUACCAUCUUGGCUUUUGUACAUGAUAUGAGCCAACAUGGAAACGCAGGCUGCUCUGAACUCCUGUCAUCAUCCAUCUUUACUGGGGACUGGGCCACUGGGUAUUUUUUUCCCUAAGUCAUAAUCAGUGUACCUCAAUGCUUAAUAGAAUUCAUCCCCUCUAACUCCAUGAAAGGACCAUCACUUGUUGAAAGUUGCUAGAAAUUAUAAAUACCUUUGAAACCUUC